CAGUAGCCACGGUAAUACGAAGGUCCCGAGCGUUGUUCGGAAUCACUGGGCGUAAAGGGAGCGUAGGCGGCGUGGUAAGUCAGAUGUGAAAUCCCGGGGCUCAACCCCGGAACUGCAUCCGAUACUGCCAUGCUAGAGGAUUGGAGAGGUAGCUGGAAUUCUUGGUGUAGCAGUGAAAUGCGUGGAGAUCAAGAGGAACACUCGUGGCGAAAGCGAGCUACUGGACAAUAACUGACGCUGAGGCUCGAAGGCCAGGGUAGCGAAAGGAAUUAGAUACCCCGGUAGUCCCUGUCUCUUAUAC
rnacentral:rRNA from 1 species